AUUGAACGCUGGCGGCAUGCUUUACACAUGCAAGUCGAACGGCAGCGCGGGCUUCGGCCUGGCGGCGAGUGGCGAACGGGUGAGUAAUGCAUCGGAACGUGCCCAGUAGUGGGGGAUAGCCCGGCGAAAGCCGGAUUAAUACCGCAUACGACCUGAGGGUGAAAGCGGGGGACCGAAAGGCCUCGCGCUAUUGGCGCGGCCGAUGGCGGAUUAGCUAGUUGGUGGGGUAAAGGCUUACCAAGGCGACGAUCCGUAGCUGGUCUGAGAGGACGACCUGCCACACUGGGACUGAGACACGGCCCAGACUCCUACGGGAGGCAGCAGUAGGGAAUUUUGGACAAUGGGCGCAACCCUGAUCCAGCCAUGCCGCGUGCGGGAAGAAGGCCUUCGGGUUGUAAACCGCUUUUGUUCGGGAAGAAAUCCUCUGGGCUAAUACCCCGGGGGGAUGACGGUACCGGAAGAAUAAGCACCGGCUAACUACGUG
rnacentral:rRNA from 1 species